UUGUCGAGGUUUCAGAAAACGAUUUCAAGUUUCUUUUACGUUGAGGAUAAAAAAAUAUGGCGGAAUGUAAACCACAUUAAAGUUUGUGCUUGGAAUACUUUACUCGGGAAACACAAAAACCGAAGUCAGGCAAAUUUGCCCGCACUUAUCAAAAUCGCUAUCAGAUUUGGACGUCGACUUUAUUGACAACACAACAGACGAUGUGUUUUCCUUAAGUUAUGGCGGCGAACAUCAAAACAUUGCCCAGCGUUCCAAUACGUUUCUCAGAAGUAGAAGCACGGACAGACUCGAUUAUGACAUGUCUUUUGAAAUGGAGAAAGGGACAGUGGGAUUUAGUGAAGAGUUGGCCACUACACCGAACAAAGCAAAGGCAAUAGAACGACAAACGGAAUUGGUCGAUGCAAGGUCGCAACCCAAGAUUGCUUGGUCUGAUUUCUUAACUGAUGCAACCAGAAGUAGUCUUG